rnacentral:rRNA from 1 species
GACGAACGCUGGCGGCGUGCUUAACACAUGCAAGUCGAACGGAAAGGCCCUGCUUUUGUGGGGUGCUCGAGUGGCGAACGGGUGAGUAACACGUGAGUAACCUGCCCUUGACUUUGGGAUAACUUCAGGAAACUGGGGCUAAUACCGGAUAGGAGCUCCUGCUGCAUGGUGGGGGUUGGAAAGUUUCGGCGGUUGGGGAUGGACUCGCGGCUUAUCAGCUUGUUUGUGGGGUAGUGGCUUACCAAGGCUUUGACGGGUAGCCGGCCUGAGAGGGUGACCGGCCACAUUGGGACUGAGAUACGGCCCAGACUACUACGGGAGGCAGCAGUGGGGAAUAUUGCACAAUGGGCGGAAGCCUGAUGCAGCAACGCAGCGUGCGGGAUGACGGCCUUCGGGUUGUAAACCGCUUUAGCCUGUGACGAAGCGUGAGUGACGGUAAUGGGUAAAGAAGCACCGGCUAACUACGUG